UACGGAGGGUGCGAGCGUUAAUCGGAAUUACUGGGCGUAAAGCGUACGUAGGCGGUUACGUAAGUUGGAUGUGAAAGCCCCGGGCUCAACCUGGGAAUUGCAUCCAAAACUGUGUGACUAGAGUAUGUGAGAGGGAAGGGGAAUUCCGGGUGUAGCGGUGAAAUGCGUAGAUAUCCGGAGGAACACCAGUGGCGAAGGCGCCUUCCUGGCACAAUACUGACGCUGAGGUACGAAAGCGUGGGGAGCGAACAGG
rnacentral:rRNA from 1 species